rnacentral:rRNA from 1 species
CGCACGGGUGAGUAACACGUAGGUAAUCUACCUUCGGGUGGGGAAUAACUUAGGGAAACUUAAGCUAAUACCGCAUAAUGCAGCGGCUCCUUCGGGAGACAGUUGUUAAAGAUUUAUCGCCUAAAGAGCAGCCUGCGGCAGAUUAGCUAGUUGGUAAGGUAACGGCUUACCAAGGCUACGAUCUGUAUCCGACCUGAGAGGGUGGUCGGACACACUGACACUGAAUAACGGGUCAG